CCCGGCCAGGAGGCCACUCAGCUCUGUGGACCCAGCCGGUGAAGCCGGGGACUGACGAAUCUCUGGAAGGAAGGGGAGCAGCUGAUGUUCAGACUGGGAGGCAGCCGCCUCCGCUAGAGUCCCCCUCAGAAGCUUCCAGAGCCUCUACCGCAAGGCAGGUGGUGAGGGACAGGUGGGGGCACCCACGGAGACUUCAGCGCUACCCCUUCUCCUUGUGAGGACAGUGUCUUCCUCCUCCUUCUCUGCUCAGUUUAGCCCGAUUUCCACUGUCACCUCAAAAUUGUGACACCAGGUCACAGAUGUCCCUGGGCACCAGUCAAUUUACACACGGGAUUGCAAGCCUCGGAGGAGAACCUGCCAGAGGGUGUCAUUACCUCCAUUCCUCAGAUGAGGAAAUCGAGGCUUGGAAGGGAAACCCGCUGGCUGGCCCCCUCCCACUGGGCUGUGGGGCCGGAGGACGGGAACAGAGGCAGCAAAGCCUGAGUCCUGGCUUCUGAGCUCACCGGCUGGGUGAGCCUGGGGCCCAGUAGUGUCGCCGAGCACCGACUUCCUCCUCCCUGAUUUCAUUCCAAUCCCACAGCAAUGCCACGGUCUGGUGGUUACAUUGUGUCCAUUUUUGCAGAGGCGGGGCCAAGGCUGGGGAGAGGAGGGGAGGGGAGGGGAGGGGAGAGCUUUGUUCAUGUCUGAGCAGCUUGGGCUUAGUGGUGUGGGGGCCUGGCCAGUGUGCCUGGCACUGUUCUCCCCUGGGCCCAUCUGCCUGCACUGUGCCCACUCAGUUGAGGGGAGCAGCCUGCCCUCCCCGGAGCUCCCCAGGGCAGAUGGGUUUGCUCAGGGAUAAGGCGCACCCUGUCAUCAAACUCAGAGGUCAGGCCACCCGCACACAUGAACUCCUAUAACGUGCCGCCGUGUCGCAGACAUGAUGCCCUUCCUCCGUUGCCUCCUUUUCCCUCCUUUUCUGCCGAGGUGCACAGAACGGGAGCGGCUUCGUGCGUUCUAGCAGCAAACUGCCUGGGACGGACUCCCGGCUGGGCCACGCACCUGCCCGUGCUGUGUGCUGGGAAGUAGACACUGACGGUCCGAGCCGCAUCGAAGUGUGGAGAGGCUGGAACCGGAGAGGACACGUGACGCGCUCAGACCAGGGCUGCGAAAACAGCGACCAUUCGUCACACAACAGCUGCCUCCUUAUUUUGGUUUGGUUUGAUCUCUGGGGUCCCCUGUGGAGGGCAGGCAAGCCCCCAAGGCCUUGGCCCCAGUUCCUGCACGGUGCACUGUGGGGGACGUGGCCUUGGUCUGGGAGUCAGGCGACUACCUCUAGGACAGCUGUGAUGAUCAAAUAUGUCCCCACCUGGGCUCCACACAUAGUUCCUGUGGGUCCUUAGGCACGUUCUUCUCUCUGUGACCCUGACUCUUCGUCUUUCCACGGGAAAGCUGGAACGGAGAGGCCAUCUCCAGGCUCCCCGCCGCCUCUAAGACCCCAGUGUACCAAGAUCAGACUGAGCCCCCACCCACAGAGGAAGAAGAAAGCAGCAGGAAGAGAAUCCACCCAGAAAAGAGGGGGCAGGGAAUCCAACUCGUUAUGCUACUGCUCUUUAUCGUCCCCAGGUCACCCAACCCGGGGAGUGACCUUGAUUCCAAAGCCCGUGUUCUUGACCGCUUCACCAUGAACGCUACUGAACUUGGCUGUGAGCUUGGGCCUUCCGGAUCCUAUUUUCCAGAGGACAGAAACGAAGCCCAGGGGGGCAAGGUCACACAGCUACUGAGGGGUGCAGCCGGACUCCCACCAUGUUGCCUUGACCCCCAAUUCCAGAUCCUUCCCCCCAGAGCCCUCUGCCUCACUUAAUCAGCUUUACUGAUCCUUCUGUGCCUGGCCCUGGGCUGACCACGUGGCAUCUAGAAAUGACGGGCCGUGCCCCCUGCCUUGUCCCGCGGAGACUGCGAUGAUGACGUCACCAUGGUAUACCGCGGGAAGGCCCCGGUUCUGCGUGGAUGGGGACUGGGUGGAAGGGGAGUGUCUUCUCCCUCAGAUGCUCCGCUCCAGCCACAGCGCCAGGAUCUCCGAGCUCUUGAGGGCCUCUGAGGAGGUUUAAGAUCCGGAGAGAGUCAUGCGGUUAAAAUACGAACAGGAAAUUGCGCCGCUGAAAUUGAUACGUACUGGGGAGUCUGGGUGGCUCAGUCGGUUGAGCGUCCGACUCUGGAUGUCGGCUCAGGUCGUGGUCUCCUGGUUCGUGGGAUCAAGCCCCGGGUCAGGCUCCGUGCUGACAGGGCAGAGCCUGCGUGGGAUUCUCUCUCUCCCUCUCUCUUCCCUCCUUCGCAUGCGCACCCUCUCUCUCUCUCUCCAAAUAAAUACCCUUAAAACGCAA